GUGGAGCAUGUGGCUUAAUUUGACUCAACGCGGGGAAUCUUACUAGGUCCGGACCGAGUUUAUGAUUGUCGUGCCGUGGGGCAUUACACGAUUACUGGAUGAGUGGUGCAUGGCCGUUCUUAGUUCGUGGUGUUAAUUGUCUACUUAAUUGUUUCUAGUUCCCGUAUCUCUCGGUGCGGAACAAAUAACGAACGAGAUCGAGACCCGUGGUUGCGUUGAGUGGUACAUCGUAAACUACGGGGAUCGCGUAAUACUCCACGGUACGAUUGAAAGACUCGGCAAUAACAGGUCUGUGAUGCCCUCAGAUGUUCUAGGCUGCACACGUGCUACAUUGUGAGUUUCGUAGUAUGUAUGUAUGCGUAGAUAUCUAUGGUCUAAGAUCCCCCGCAUCGAGUCAUAAUCAUUCACGUGGUUGGACUCACCGAUUGUCAAUUAUUCGGUAUCUCAACUAGGAAUGCCUCGUACUGUGACAGGUUCAACGAGACCCACUGGAAUCCGUCCCUGCCCUUUGUACACACCGCCCGUCGCUCUUACCGAUGGGUGUGGUUGUUAGCAUAGAUGAGUAUUGUUUUAUACGGUGCGACUCUACGCAUGCAACCACGCCUAAAGGAAAGAGAAGUCGUAACAAGGCAUCG
rnacentral:rRNA from 1 species